AGAGUUUGAUCCUGGCUCAGAGUGAACGCUGGCGGCGUGCUUAACACAUGCAAGUCGAACGAGAACGGAUCUAGCUUGCUAGAUUGUCAGCUAAGUGGCGCACGGGUGAGUAAUACAUAGAUAACAUACCUUUUAGUUUGGGAUAACAGUUGGAAACGGCUGCUAAUACCGAAUAUGCCUUUAAUACUCAAGUAUGAGAGGGAAAGAUUUAUUGCUAAGAGAUUGGUCUAUGUCCUAUCAGUUAGUUGGUGAGGUAAAAGCUUACCAAGACUAUGACGGGUAGCUGGUUUGAGAGGAUGAUCAGCCACACUGGUACUGAGACACGGACCAGACUCCUACGGGAGGCAGCAGUGGGGAAUAUUGCACAAUGGAGGAAACUCUGAUGCAGCAACGCCGCGUGGGGGAUGACACAUUUCGGUGCGUAAACUCCUUUUUUAUGGGAAGAAAAUGACGGUACCAUAAGAAUAAGCAUCGGCUAACUCCGUGCCAGCAGCCGCGGUAAUACGGAGGAUGCAAGCGUUACUCGGAAUCACUGGGCGUAAAGAGCAUGUAGGCUGGAUAAUAAGUCAGAUGUGAAAUCCUAUCGCUUAACGAUAGAACUGCAUUUGAAACUGUUUUCCUAGAGUAUGGAAGGGGCAGAUGGAAUUAGUGGUGUAGGGGUAAAAUCCGUAGAGAUCACUAGGAAUACCGAAAGCGAAGGCGAUCUGCUGGUACAUAACUGACGCUAAGAUGCGAAAGCGUGGGGAGCAAACAGGAUUAGAUACCCUGGUAGUCCACGCC
rnacentral:rRNA from 1 species